rnacentral:rRNA from 1 species
UAGCUAGUUGGUAGGGUAAAGGCCUACCAAGGCGACGAUCGGUAGCUGGUCUGAGAGGAUGGCCAGCCACACUGGGACUGAGACACGGCCCAGACUCCUACGGGAGGCAGCAGUGGGGAAUAUUGGACAAUGGGGGCAACCCUGAUCCAGCAAUGCCGCGUGUGUGAAGAAGGCCCGAGGGUUGUAAAGCACUUUCAGUGGGGAGGAGGAUUGAUUGGUUAAGAGCUGAUUGAUUGGACGUUACCUACAGAAGAAGCACCGGCUAACUCCGUGCCAGCAGCCGCGGUAAUACGGAGGGUGCGAGCGUUAAUCGGAAUUACUGGGCGUAAAGGGUGCGUGGGUGGUUAGAUAAGUUAGCUGUGAAAUCCCCGGGCUCAACCUGGGCAGGUCAGCUAAGACUGUUUGACUCGAGUAUGGGAGAGGGUAGUGGAAUUUCCGGUGUAGCGGUGAAAUGCGUAGAGAUCGGAAGGAACACCAGUGGCGAAGGCGGCUACCUGGCCUAAUACUGACACUGAGGCACGAAAGCGUGGGGAGCAAACAGGAUUAGAUACCCCGGUAGUCCACGCCGUAAACGAUGUCAACUAGUUGUUGGCCUUAUGAAUGAGGUUAGUGACGA